rnacentral:rRNA from 1 species
UAGUUGGUGGGGUAACGGCUCACCAAGGCGACGAUACAUAGGGGGACUGAGAGGUUAACCCCCCACACUGGUACUGAGACACGGACCAGACUCCUACGGGAGGCAGCAGUGAGGAAUAUUGGUCAAUGGACGCAAGUCUGAACCAGCCAUGCCGCGUGCAGGAUGACGGCUCUAUGAGUUGUAAACUGCUUUUGUACGAGGGUAAACGCAGAUACGUGUAUCUGUCUGAAAGUAUCGUACGAAUAAGGAUCGGCUAACUCCGUGCCAGCAGCCGCGGUAAUACGGAGGAUUCAAGCGUUAUCCGGAUUUAUUGGGUUUAAAGGGUGCGUAGGCGGUUUGAUAAGUUAGAGGUGAAAUUUCGGGGCUCAACCCUGAACGUGCCUCUAAUACUGUUGAGCUAGAGAGUAGUUGCGGUAGGCGGAAUGUAUGGUGUAGCGGUGAAAUGCUUAGAGAUCAUACAGAACACCGAUUGCGAAGGCAGCUUACCAAACUAUAUCUGACGUUGAGGCACGAAAGCGUGGGGAGCAAACAGGAUUAGAUACCCUGGUAGUCCACGCAGUAAACGAUGAUAACUCGUUGUCGGCGAUACACAGUCGGUGACUAAGCGAAAGCGAUAAGUUAUCCACCUGGGGAGUA